UGUUUGCUAUCCCUUAUAAUCACUUAAAAUCUUUUGUAGUUAAUACAUUUGUUUUUGCUUUAUCACAAACUGGUGUGUGGAAGUCAUAACUUGGGGUAAAAAGCUGUUGUAUAUUUCCUCUCCACAUUGAGGGAGAGGGCGAAUUUCAGGAGCUUACACUGUACAGUUCCCUGUGCAGUGCAAGACGGUAUAAUUUUGGGUUUACACUCGAGGGGAGGAGGGGGUGCCUAAAUGGCUGGGAAGUUCCUUAGAUGAAGCCUUCUCAUGCAAAGCUGGUCACAGCAUCUGUAUGUUUCUGCAGCUGUAUGUGUGCUGGUGAAGGUGCAGACUGGAGCCUGAGAGAGGGCUUGGCAGGCUGGUCACAGCAGUACAGUGUAAAGGGAACCCAGGCAGGUGGGUCAGGUGGGCUCAGUGAUACCCCAGGUCCAGGUGGCACCGAGCAGGGUGGCGGGGGCGGGGGGACCAAUCACAAGGAGAAAAUACCUCAUCCCUUCCCCAGAGACUGUGAUGAGGACAUUAGCAGGGCAGAAUCAUUCCCUAAAGGGAAACAAUGUGGCUGCAGGAGACACUGUCCUUAAAAGGGUAGCUUAUCCCCAUAAGCAAACCAGUAAGGACUGUGAACAAUGUAAGGGAAAUGAGAAUGGUGCCAUCACAAAUGAUCCCCUCCGCCACCCCUGACCCUUGUGAGGUAUUCUCGUCUCCCAGAGAUACAAGUCUGGCACAUUGUCACCUCAAGCCGGUGGCUGACUGAGUUUCAAGGACCAGGAAGAACCUAUUAAGGAUUCUCCCAGUAGGAGUCGGAUCACUUGCUGGGGCAGGAAAUUUCUGUGAGGUCUUUGCCAGCAUCACACCAAGGACACCCAAUUCACGAGUCACGUUAACUCUGAGCUGCUCUAGGUUCUGCAUCUGUAAGCAUAAGCCUAAUGGGAAGAAACUGUCUCAAGUAAAUUGUACUCCAUUUUGCUUAUUUUGCUUUAUACUCCAUUUUGCUAGCUUUGAAUUAGUAAGAAGAAAUUGUAGCCUUGAAUUAGUAAGAAGAAAUUGUUCUGAGUUUAUUCUUUGCUGAUUGCACUAAUGAUUUUAAUGUUAGAAGGAUAGAAGUUUGUGGCUGUAAUUGCCUUAUUUACUGUUUGGUAUGUGAGUGAAGAAUGUAUGGUAAUUAUCUGAGAAAAGACAGCUGGGCCGGAUGGUCAAUAAGGGAGUGGAGGAGUCGAGAGGCGCCAACUUUCACCCGGAUAGCAGACUGAUGACCCUAAAGCAAAGGCAUAUGCCCCAAGGACAAAAUAAAGAGUGGAGCCAGAGGAACGAGAUAAGAAAAAGCUGUGGAUACUCCCAGUAACAGCCGGAUUGGGUGCAACCUUGACUAACAGCUCUGGUGUGCCACAGACUUGUAUGGGAACUUAUUACUGUAAAAGAAGGGUGUAUUGCAAUGGGAUUUUGGGUUCAUUCUGCAUCAACAUCGGAGCUGAGUCGAGCUCCCCAUCCCUCGUGUACAGUUUCAGCUGGCCACUGGAACUGACUGAGCAACAAUAAGGAUUGGUGAAAACCAGCUGCUGCCACGCUAAUAUCAGAGUGAAAGUGCAGGUAAAGUUGAUUGGAGGUGCUGUUCAACAAUGCUGGCACAGUAGUACCUGCAACAAACAAGACAGUUUCAUCUGUGUUUCUUCAGCAGAUCUGCCAGAACUAUCAGUUCCAAAAGCAAGACAGUGGACCUAGGUAUCAAACUAGGUCUCAUGAAAUAACAGACUUCCAUUGGCCAGGAACGGCGAAUCGCGGCCACUGAGAGCUGCGAGCGGCCGAACCUGCGGACACUCAGGUUAACAAAGCGUCUCAUGGCCCGACAGGUGCUUACACUGAACAAGCCGCAAACCAAGUUUGGGAACCCCUAUUCUACACUAUUGUUAUGAGGAUGAAGUAAAAACCAACAGAUUUACCUUGGUAGACAAAAUGGAAACCUCUGGCAGAUGCCCCACUCUUUGCACUGAACCGCAUCAAUAUUUGAUUGGAUGAAGCUAAAGGCAAUGUCUCACCUACAUAUGAAGAAGGGAAAGAAAAGGAAGAGAGAGAAUGGAAAAAUUGAAAUAAAGAUUGGAAAGAUGAGAGUAUUUUAGAUUUUAAUAAAAUAUCCUGUUAAAAAAACCUGAUAGGCAAUAGUACAUUUUUCUUCUUUUUUCCUUCCAUGUUUUAGCAUAAAAAAUUCUGCAAAUCAUAUUUAACAACAUUAAAUUUGGCAUUGGAGGUAUACAGAAAUAAUCAUCAAACAGAAACAUUUUAUGAUGUACAAUUAUAUUAUUUAUAAACUUUCUGAUAUUUACUGAAGCUGUUGGGAUUAGAGCUGUAAUAAAUUGCUUUCCUGGGAGUCUGUUACCCUUUUGGGCCAGUGUCAUUUGAAGAGUUUUUGCCAGAGUUUAUCUGUGACUGACAGCUUUAGCUUGCAUUCCAAAAUGCCUUAAACAAUUAAAAGGCUUUCAAAAGAGCCCUAGGGUCUCUCUCUAUAAAGAUAGAAUAUAUAAUUUAAAAACAAAACAAAACUAAAACUAAAAUGAGAGAAAAUGGGUCCUUGACUCUCUUUCUGAAGUGAAUCUUUCUCUGUCUCUGUGAAAUAUUUAACAUACUACAUGAGUAACAUUAGAUUAUUAAAUAGAUCUUCUAAAAGCAAUUCAAUUUAAAUUAAUAUUAGCUCAUCACUUGGCAUAUUUCUGUAUGUCCUCUCUUCAAGGCAAGCUUUGCAAACCUGGAAGGCUAACUUAAGAAAUCAUGAAGAAACUUAAAAUAUUUACUCAGAUUUUGCUAAAUGCAUAUCAAAAUUCAGAUUUCCAACUUCCUAUUUUAUAUAUAUAUAUAUUUGUGUAUUGUAUUUUGUAUUUCUGCAAUUUUGGCAUGCACAGUUUACCACUCUGGAUUAUGACAAAGGUGUGCUUACUGUUUAGCACAGGGGUUCUCAAACUGGGGGUCGGGACACCUCAGGGGGUCAUGAGUUUAUUACAUGGGGAGUUGCGAGCUGUCAGCCUCCACCCCAAACCAUGCUUUGC